rnacentral:rRNA from 1 species
GACGAACGCUGGCGGCGUGCUUAACACAUGCAAGUCGAACGGUGAAGGGGUCUGCUUUUGUGGGCCCUGGAUGAGUGGCGAACGGGUGAGUAACACGUGAGUAACCUGCCCCCUUCUUCUGGAUAACCGCAUGAAAGUGUGGCUAAUACGGGAUAUUCUGGGUCUGUCGCAUGAUGGGUCUGGGAAAGAUUGCGCCUUUGGGUGUUUUUGGUGGGGGAUGGGCUCGCGGCCUAUCAGCUUGUUGGUGGGGUGAUGGCCUACCAAGGCGGUGACGGGUAGCCGGCCGGAGAGGGUGGACGGUCACACUGGGACUGAGACACGGCCCAGACGCCUACGGGAGGCAGCAGUGGGGAAUAUUGCACAAUGGGCGCAAGCCUGAUGCAGCGACGCCGCGUGAGGGAGGGAGGCCUUCGGGUUGUAAACCUCUUUCGCCAGUGAAGCAGGCCUGCUCCUUGUGGGUGGGUUGACGGUAGCUGGAUAAGAAGCGCCGGCUAACUACGUG